rnacentral:lncRNA from 1 species
GUGGAAGGAAGCCAGGAUACUUCAUGUCUCUGUUCCCUUGACUACCUGUCAUAGAGUUAGUUCUGGGGAUCUGAAGUGUGAAAUCAAGGUAUCAACGGUGUUGGUUUCAUGAAGCUCUGAGGAGGAAUGUUCCAUGUUUCUCUCCUAACUUCCGCACAGAAAUACAUUACUAGAAGCAUAACAGACAAUGACUGGAAAUUAAUUAUGGAAUAUUCUUAUCUCUGAAAGUAGCUGCUCGGGAAAAGAAAACCUUCUGCAGGAAAUGGUCAUAAUUUGGAACACUAAAAUUCUAUUCACUGAAUGGAAGUAACAUUGUCUUAUGC